UACCCUGUGUCACCAGGCCGGGUGGUCCUCCUGGCUCAGGGCUGGGAGGAUUGUCCUGGGUGUUUCCCAGGAGGGGAAGGCUGGGCCCACCUACAAGGUGACUGGGGCACAGGAAGGACUUUGCCGUGUGAGAUGCUGGGCUGCUUCCAAGACACGCUUUGAAGGCGGCCCCAUUCCUUCCUGCAGGAACUCUGUCUUUUCCCUUCAGCCCCGGUCACGCACGUAGGCUCGUGUCUGCCUUCCUCCCUAACAAGAACACUCUUUCGAAGCAGAUGUGGUCUUCCUGGCUCUGCAGAGUCACACGUCCCAGAAACCUUGUCUGAGCCGUGCUCUCGACCCGUCCAGUCUUUCUCCUGGAGCGCCGCACCUCCUGGUAGCCACUGCUUUGGCUGUGCUUGGUCUUCAGGACGCUCCUUCUGAAGUACAGGUGCUUGUCCUCUGCCGUCUUCUCCCGGUGCAGCCGUGUCUGUCACGGUUCUUCCCAGAAAUGCUUCAGUCUCGAGCUCACUGGUUGGAAAUUCUCAUUGACAGCUCUGCUCCUGGAAUGGGCAUUGUGGAGCACUGGGUUAAGCCGUGGCCUGAGAUGCUGGCACCCCAGGUGGGCCCUUGGUUCAAGUCCCGGCUGCCCCACUUCUGAGCCGUCUCCCUGCUAGUGCACCUGGGAAAGCAGUGAAGAUGGCCCGCGUGCUAGGGCCUCUGCCACCCACGUGGGAGACCUGGGAGGAGCUCCUGGCUCCUGGCUCCUGGCUUCAGCUGGCCCAGCCCCGGUCAUCUUGGUCAUCUGGGGAGUGAACCAGUGGGUUGAAGAUCUCUCUGUCUCUCCCUCUCUCUGUAACUCUGCCUUUCAGAUAAAUGAUUUUUUUUUGAAGAAAGCUCUGGUGAUGUGUGGCUGAGCUGGGUGCGACGCCGCCCAUCUGGCCAGGAGUUCGCUGCACUUGCCUGUUUCAGGCAGAAUUGUGUGAGCUGUUGAGAAGGCCGGGCUGUGGCCGUGGCUCCUGCUGUGGAUCCACGAUGGUCUCCGGCUGCAGCGUGAGCAGGCUGCAUUUUUCCUCCCUCAGAGUUCGUAUGGGUGGCCUGCCACUGUGGGCUUGAUGUUCAACUUUGGCUUUUUCCUUAAAAUAAGUGUCCCCUUGUAAACUGCUGAUUGAUUUGGGACCCUGUCCCUGUAAACUUCCUGUGAAGUCUCAGCAGUUUCUCUGUUUCCCCCUGUGCUUCCGCGUAAAUUUGACGUUUUUGCUUCCGUUGCAGCAGAAUUCACGUUGCUGUGCUGGCGGCUCUUUCCAGGCUGAGAGAUUCCCUUCCUGCCGCCGCUGACUCGGUCCUGUGCAGACAGGCCGUGGCGAGCCGGUGCAGUCCACCUUGGCGCGGCGACAUUUAGAAAGAAAUCCGUGCGUGGUUGUUUCAUAACGUGCAUUUCGAUGAAAACAUUUUGAAGACCCCUCUUUGGUGUGUAGUAGUGACUAACAUUUCCGUGACUAGAACCAGAGGGAUCCCGGAGCGGCCUCUGUGUGUGUUUCCCGGCUGGUCACCCUCCUGGCCGCGUCGAGGUGUAUCUGCCUCCUCCGGGCAUGGUGACCUCGAGUGCUGAGCCUGGGAGUUCUUCACAGGCGGCGCACCUGCCUGCCAGCUCUGCAGGUGCCAGCUCUGCAGAUAAAGAUCAUCUGGCCUGCAAGAUGGCUGCGUGGCCCAGUCUCCUUGGGAAAAAGCGGGUCAAUUAUUCUAAAUAGUUUUUUUUCACAGUAGGGAGCCUCAGUGGGCUGUAGGGUUUGGAAGACCUCUCGGAAGCACACAGGAAGGCGUGAAGUGUCUGCGGAGUCCAGCCUCCUGUCCUCGUGAGGGCGCCUCACGUCCCUGUGUUCAGGAGGUGCCGAGCUGGCUCUGUACCUCGCUGCCCCGCUCCCUGGUGACGUCUCAUCCUAAAUCCUGAAACCAAGGGGACGCAAAGCCCAGGUCUGUGGGAGUGCGGGUGUACUGGGGGACAUCCCUGUGGACUUAGCAGAUAGGAAGGGCAGAGCAGUGGCCAAGGAUCUGAACGACACGUCCUCACAUACCCGGCCUGCGGAGAUGGGAGGACACUGGAGUUUACAUAGAAGAGGUCAGACCGCUUCCAUGUCAGCACAUGUGGAGGGCACCCUGCUGUGAAGGGACACAUACGUGUGUGUGGAUGGGCGCGCAGUGCAAGCCAACCAGCUGUCACAUAAGCAGUCAGUCGCGGGUAAGUGACUUGGUAAACAGCUGGCUGUGAGGUCGGAGGUGGUUGGGUGAGCACGGUGGUCGGAGGCCCCGAUUUGAGUCUUGUGAGGGUCAUUUGUGAGUUCCUGACGGGGCCUUGCCUGAGUGCAGGGCCCAUGGGCUGCUUUGUGUUGUUUCUUAGGACUGCGUGUGAAUCUACAACGACCUCGAAAUGACUCGUUUUCCCUGCAUGGUGGUGGUGUGUACGCGAUGGUGUUUGUGCGCUGGUCAUGCCAGAAAGGAGGGCGGUCACCUGCAGCGACUCUGCUGACGCAGCAGCAGGGCGGGGAAGGAGGUGGCCGGCAGCCGUGAGGUCAGGCAGUGCUGCGCAGGUGGAGAGCAGGGGCCCGUCAGGGUGAACGCAGGGGAGUGUGUCGUGCCGUCUGGCAGGUAACAGGCGCUCUUACCUGGUGGUCCAGGAACCCUGCGCAGGGUGAAUGGGGAUGUGUGAAAUGCAGAAGGGCAGUGCUGUUUGUAACUCGCUGAAGACCAGCGACAUCGCAGAUAGGCAACAGCCUGGAGCCGUGUGCCUCAGCUGUGGACCCCUCGUUGGAGUCCUGCCAGGGUGCGCGCGUCUCGCUGCGAGCUGCUGUGUCCCGGGGAAGCAGGCGCAGGGCAGGGGUGUGAUCGGCUCGGCUCACUGUUGACUGGGUGCCCGAGCGGGGCACCCGCACUCCUGCCGCUUACGUUCCUGACUGAGCAGGAGCCAUCGAAGGGACAAGCCAGAACCACUGGAGAAGGGUGCAGUCUCGGGGAGGGCACAGGUGAAGCUGGCUCUGUUUGCUUUUCAAGGCUGAUUUCUCUGGAAGGCCCAGUGACAGGGAGAGACACAGACGGAUGGCUCAUUCCCCAGGUGGCUGUAACGGGCAGGGAGCCUGGAACCUCAUCCCGGUCUCCCACGUGGGUGCAGGGCCCAAGCUCUUGGGCCAUCCUCUGCUGCUUUCCCACACGCCUGGCCGGCAGCUGAACUGCAAGUGGAACAGCCAGGCUGUGAAUCGGCGCCGUGCGGGAGGCUGGCAUCGCAGGAAGUGGCUUACCUGCUGAGACUACGUGCCGGCCUUACGGGUUUUCAGUUUGGAAUCAUGUAUUGCUUUAUACAGCUAUAAAACCAAAUAAAAAUAAGAAAGCUAUCCUUCAAAACCACGGAUAAAAUUAAAUAAAAAAGGAACCCAUACUAUAUAUCAAGUGGGUGCUUUAAUCAAAUGAAGAAAAAUUGCUUCCAAUAGACUUUCAAGUGGUUUGAUGUAAAGCCCUAGCAGGAUUUGUUAGCACAGAAAGAAUUGCAAAAAAAAUUUUAAAGCACUGCUCAGUCAUCAGAUUGUUAAUAAUAGCAUUAGUGCUAUUUUGAAACUUAUUUACAUGCAUAUUUACUGAAAUAUAUAUUUAUAUACGUAAAUAUUGGAAUAAAGCAAAUAAGUAAUUAUGAUAAUAUUAUAGAAAGUCAGAUUUUUUUAACAGAAGAAAAUCAAGCAUAAAAUCAAAGAAGAAAUUUUAAAACCCUAUAAUCUUAAAUAUACAUAGAGACUCAGUGUGAAUCGCAGUGCGCUGCUCCCUUUAGAAAAGCAAACUCCUGCUCUUGGCCCUCUCUGCUGGGAAUGCCUGGACCCGGGACCCCACUGAGAAUGGCCCCGCCCCACACCGUUUCCACAGAGGGAACCAGGGCUCCCCGAGGAGGAGGAGGCGAUUCCAGAACGGCUCGGGGUGCCCCGUGUAGAAGGCAAGGAGCCUCUCCCAGCCACAGGGUCAGGUGGGAGCCCGCGUUCCAGGGCUCCUGCCCAGCGGGACGGCGAGCGCCAGGAGGAGUUAGCAUGGCAGCUAACAGAGCGUCUCCUGCUGUCUGCGAAUUGGUAGUGACUUUUAAACAGAGCGCUUCCAGCGCGAAACCCGUCCUCGUUCACCCUUGAAGGCUGCUUGGGAACCCAGAGGUCAGUGCGAGUGGACACUGAAGCCGCGUUCCGCUCGUCUGGCCCGUGUGGGGGGCAGUGCCGCCCCCUCCUCAGAAAAGCAGGUGCACAGACGGGCAGGGGAGGCGUCGCAUGUGCCCUGAGGGAGCAGCGGGUGCAGGCGGUGCUCACCCCCGGCGGCGCCAGGCCAUUCGAGGGAGCUUGAAGGGGAGCUCAUGACGGACGGUUCAGCCUGGCAGCUGGACCCGCUGCCCGGGAGCCACAGCCAGCCUGCCCCCGCGGCGGCUGCAGAGGGAGGACACAGUGCCUGCAGCGGGUUUUCCUCGCACACAGCCCCCGACGUGAGUCAGCCUGAGACCUGGGUCCAGCUCAGAAGUUCCAGGAAAGGGGAGACAGGUGCACUGGCUUCCGGACUGAAGCCAGCCAAAGCCCAGGGGCGGCCUCCUGGGCAGGAAGUCUGGAAGGAGGGGAGGGACCUGCCCGGCAGGCAGCACGCGCCCUUGCUGUGGCGCUCAGAGAGCAGAGCGCAGGCGAGGAAGCGCGUGGGGAGCCGCGUGGGCUGCGUCGGGGAUUCCCGUUCACUCCACAGCGUGGCCGUGGCGUCGCGCCGUGCGUGCUGCUGAGUCACCCGUGUGUGUUUGCUGUGGAAGAGCAGCGCGGUGGGCGCGGGGCUGCUCAGAGCAGGCCAGGUUGGCCACACCCAUGCCCCGGGGUCCUGACGGAGGGCCGAGGGCUGCAGGUUUUACUCUAGGCUCGCUGCUUUUGAAAAGUCUUGUCUGAAAGUGUUGUUUUUUGUUUGUUUGCUUUUGUAAAUCACACUGCACUCAAAGCAACACGCACACUAUGUGCAAUUUAAAGAUUUUAUUUAUUUAUUUGAAAGAGUGACAGAGGAAAAGAGGCCUUCAUCUGUGGCUCCACUCUGCACAUGGCUGCAAUGGCGGGGGCUGGGCCAGGCCGAAGCCGGGAGCCGGGAGCCCCAUCCGAGCUCUCCCACGGGUGGUGGUAGGCAUCUUCCAUUGCUUUCCCAGGUGCAUUACCGGAGAGCUGGAUCUGAGUAGCUUAGCCAGGACUCAAAGUGGCAGUCACGUGGGAUGUCUGCGUCGGAGGCCGCCGUUUUACCAGCUGUGCCACAGCGCUGGCCUCACACACACACUUUGCAAAGACUCGGUGCUGGCAGGGGCCUUGGCACCGAGGGUCGUCACAGUGGUCGUGGGGUGGGGACCGAGGUGACGAGUGGGCGGCUCGUGUUGAAGUUCCCUUCUGUGUCUCUCUGCGCUGCAGUGCCUGUAUAAUUUUCCCUGUGCUAGCUUUUAAGAAAUUCUCACUGUUUUCUGCUAAAUCUGAGAAUUCCCUGGAGAAUGUCUAUUAGGUGAAUGUGGAUUCUUUUUGUUCAAAUUGGUUUUGGAGCAGGGAAAGUGCUGUGCACAGCCUAAUUGACCAGGGGACAGAAAGGUGCUCGGGGCUGGUGGUCCGAGGCCCCCUUAGGGCUCAGCCGUCGAGGUCAGAAUAGCUCAGCGUGAAGCUGUGCAGUGAUCCUGGACUCUCAUCCGUCCCAGCCUCGCUCUUCACAUCCCCACCGUGCGUGUGCAGAAGCAGGACCCGGGCCUGGGGAGGAGGGAGGGCCUUGUUUCCAGAAGCCACCACAGCGCAGUCAGUGGCUCUUCAGUGUGGGAGUGGGCUCGAGCUUGUUGCAAAGGACCGUUGUUGUUCUGUGCUAAGAAAGGAUGAUGGCUCUUGACCCAUCUGUCCCCCUGACGUGUGCGGCCCCUCCCCCGAGUGCCAAGGCCUGAGCUGGGCAGGAAACACACACAGCCCGCGAGGCCAACCCCGCCCCAGGGAGCUGUCAGUCAGAAAGGCAGAGGGGACACUGCAGGGCGGGGCUGUGACACUUGUGCCUGUUUCCAGCACUGCCGCCCCCGGGGUGUUCUGGUGGCUGAGAGCUGUUGGAGAGCCGGUCAGUGAUGCUGGGACCUAGCAGGUGGGCCGCAGCGAGUGCGCUCAUGGCCUUUUCUGGGAGCUCCCCGCUGCCGUGCCUGGGAAAGCAGAGGAACAUGGCCCGAGUGCUGCGUCACCUCUGUGGAGAGACAUAGAUGGAGCUCCAGGCUGCUGGCCUUGGCCCGUCGCGGCCAUUUAGGGAGUGAACCGGCAGGUGGAAGACCAAUCUCUGUCUCUCUAUAAUUCUGCCUUCCAAAUAAAUAAAUAAAAAAUCUUUAAAAAUUA